rnacentral:tRNA from 1 species
UGUAGCUCAGCUGGUUAGAGCGCACCCCUGAUAAGGGUGAGGUCGGCAGUUCGAGUCUGCCCA